rnacentral:ncRNA from 1 species
CUUUGCUCAUGGCUAACCACCGGAAACCGUGGGGCGCAGAGCAACGGGACUAAAGAAGUUGGCGAUACCUUCCCCGCUCAUAUAGCUCACACUCGAAAAACCAGCUUCCAUGUCCGCCGUGCCGCCAAA